GACAAUCUGUAGUGUAGUGGUCUUCAUGUCUGUUUUACACACAGAUGGUGCUGGAUUCAACCCCGGGUGGAGCCU